UGGGGAAUAUUGCACAAUGGGCGAAAGCCUGAUGCAGCAACGCCGCGUGAGUGAUGAAGGCCUUCGGGUUGUAAAGCUCUGUCUUUUGGGACGAUAAUGACGGUACCAAAGGAGGAAGCCACGGCUAACUACGUGCCAGCAGCCGCGGUAAUACGUAGGUGGCAAGCGUUGUCCGGAUUUACUGGGCGUAAAGGAUGCGUAGGCGGAUUUUAAGUGAGAUGUGAAAUACCCGGGCUUAACUUGGGUGCUGCAUUUCAAAACUGGGAAUCUAGAGUGCGGGAGAGGAGAAUGGAAUUCCUAGUGUAGCGGUGAAAUGCGUAGAGAUUAGGAAGAACACCAGUGGCGAAGGCGAUUCUCUGGACCGUAACUGACGCUGAGGCAUGAAAGCGUGGGUAGCAAACAGGAUUAGAUACCCUGGUAGUCCACGCCGUAAACGAUGAGUACUAGGUGUAGGAGGUAUCGACCCCUUCUGUGCCGCAGUUAACACAAUCAAGUACUCCGCCUGGGAAGUACGAAUCGCAAGAUUAAAACUGCAAAUGAAUUGACGGGGUCAUAGCUGUUUCC
rnacentral:rRNA from 1 species